GAUGAACGCUGGCGGCGUGCCUAAUACAUGCAAGUCGAGCGAACAGAUGAGGAGCUUGCUCCUCUGACGUUAGCGGCGGACGGGUGAGUAACACGUGGAUAACCUACCUAUAAGACUGGGAUAACUUCGGGAAACCGGAGCUAGUACCGGAUAAUAUAUUGAACCGCAUGGUUCAAUAGUGAAAGACGGUUUUGCUGUCACUUAUAGAUGGAUCCGCGCCGCAUUAGCUAGUUGGUAAGGUAACGGCUUACCAAGGCGACGAUGCGUAGCCGACCUGAGAGGGUGAUCGGCCACACUGGAACUGAGACACGGUCCAGACUCCUACGGGAGGCAGCAGUAGGGAAUCUUCCGCAAUGGGCGAAAGCCUGACGGAGCAACGCCGCGUGAGUGAUGAAGGUCUUCGGAUCGUAAAACUCUGUUAUUAGGGAAGAACAAAUGUGUAAGUAACUAUGCACGUCUUGACGGUACCUAAUCAGAAAGCCACGGCUAACUACGUG
rnacentral:rRNA from 1 species